GUUUAGUGUUCCUCAAUCUCGUGUUCGAGGAGUGCUGAAGGGAAACCGUUAAACCCACCACCUGGGGAGUACGGUCGCAAGGCUGAAACUUAAAGGAAUUGGCGGGGGAACACCACAAGGGGUGGAUGUUGCGGUUCAAUUGGAUAAAACGCCGGGAAACUCACCAGGGGCGACGGCACAAUGAAGGCCAGACUGAAGGUCUUGCCGAAGGAGCCGAGAGGUAGUGCAUGGCCGUCGUCAGCUCGUACCGUGAGGCGUACGGUUAAGUCCGUUAACGAGCGAGACCCGCACCAUUAUUUGCGAACUUCGAGGAUACUUGGAGAGCACUAUAGUGGGACUGCAUGCGAUGAGUGUGAGGAAGGCGCGGGCAACGACAGGUCAGUAUGCUCCGAAUCUCCUGGGCUACACGCGACAUACAAUGGCAUGGACAAUGGGUUGCAACACCGAAAGGUGGAGCUAAUCCCCUAAACCAUGUCCCAGUACAGAUUGAGGGUUGCAAUUCACCCUCAUGAAGUUGAAAUCCCUAGUAAUCGCUGUUUACCAUACAGCGGUGAAUAUGUCCCUGUUCCUUGCACACACCGCCCGUCAAACCAAUCGAGUGGACUUGAGGUGAAGCAUACUCUAACUGGGUGUGUUGAAUCUCAGGUCCGCGAGAGGGGUUAAGUCGUAACAAGGUAGCC
rnacentral:rRNA from 1 species